CAGUCCUCGUGCAGCGAUGUUCUCUGGCAGACAGAGGGAGCUGUAGGUCAGUUCAGAGAGAGACCUUCUCAUGAGCUCCAUCAUCCCCUCGAAUCCAAGUGAAGUCUAAUAACCAAUAACAAACAAAGUGAAAAUGUUUUGUGAUAUAAAUUUUGGCCACAGGAGGCAGAGGAGCAUCAUUGGCACAUAAUUUAAAUUGGACUAGAAGUAUGGAUUUCUUUCUCCAGGGAGCUCCCCCCUUCCAGGAACGGCUUUACCAUCUCCUCUGUGACUGUGAAGUUUUGGGGAAGCUCUGAGCAGCGCUUGAUAACAUUGGUGUCGAAUCCGUUCA